rnacentral:ncRNA from 3 species
GAACUUUGAAGGCCGAAG